AUGAUAUCAUUCAUAUGACUUCUACCUUCAUCUUUUGUAGACUGAUUUCUAAUUUCUUUGUCCUCAUCCCUUUAAUUUCUUGAAAUGAUGGAAAAAAUAUCUAAUAAGUUUGUGUUGCUAUGUUAUUGCGUUUCAUGGUACACUAUUCAGCCAAUUCUAAUUAUGUUCAUCAAUCUCAUGGCCUACUAGAUAACCCUUUGGAUUCACUUUUUCCAUUAACCUUGACUUUAUGGAAUCUGUGAUGGUUUAAUCUAAGGAACAACCUUCUGAAUUUGCAGGCACUGUAGUCGAGUCGAGUUUUUUUUUGUCCGUUUGGUAUAAAAAACAACAAACAAAAAUGAAGUUCAUGAAACUUGGGACAAAGCCAGAUACUUUCUAGACUGAACAAGCUACCAGGACAUGACAUCAGAGAUACCCUCAGAUCUUGUAAUACAGAUCAACGGUGUUACUUAUCUGCUACACAAGAAACCAUUCGAAUCCUCAACCUAUUUGAAACCCUUUUGAUGGCUCACACAUGUUUCUGUAUUCUUCCCGACCUCAUCACGGCAAGUCUUCUUUCAUUCAAAACCCUUUUGCUGGCUCGGUGUGUG